GGCUCCCUCUAGUGGUCUGCAGUCAUCUUCUGAUAGAAUGGUGAAGAUUGGAAGUGGGCUUUUUAUAAACCGACUCUCUUUUCUACAGAAAGACACACACCCCUCAGCGUAUGGAGAACAGUCACUGCUGGAAGCUUUAAUCAUUUCAGGCAAAUAAGCAAGAUUUACAGAGGUGCUGGACAGCGACAGUGCUCUCCUGGCUGCUGUGACUCUGCCCAGGUUCAAGUUACAUUGGCUGCGAACCCAAGAAAGAAAGGACAAGGCCAAAGCAGAACUGCUGGCGGUAUGUCAUGCAAGUGUAAGAAAUGAAGACCAAAAAGCAUGUUUUACAACAGACCUGCACCUCUCAAGAUAAAGUGCGUUGCAGAGUGAUUGAUGACCAGGGCAGAGAGCUUUAAA
rnacentral:lncRNA from 1 species